rnacentral:rRNA from 1 species
AUUGAACGCUGGCGGCAUGCCUUACACAUGCAGGUCGAACGGUAACAGGUCUUCGGAUGCUGACGAGUGGCGAACGGGUGAGUAAUACAUCGGAACGUGCCCAGACGUGGGGGAUAACGAGGCGAAAGCUUUGCUAAUACCGCAUACGAUCUAAGGAUGAAAGCAGGGGACCGCAAGGCCUUGCGCGUUUGGAGCGGCCGAUGGCAGAUUAGGUAGUUGGUGGGAUAAAAGCUUACCAAGCCGACGAUCUGUAGCUGGUCUGAGAGGACGACCAGCCACACUGGGACUGAGACACGGCCCAGACUCCUACGGGAGGCAGCAGUGGGGAAUUUUGGACAAUGGGCGAAAGCCUGAUCCAGCAAUGCCGCGUGCAGGAUGAAGGCCUUCGGGUUGUAAACUGCUUUUGUACGGAACGAAAAGGCUCUGGCUAAUACCUGGGGCACAUGACGGUACCGUAAGAAUAAGCACCGGCUAACUACGUG